CAUUACCGAAUUGUCAACAUGAGUUGUUGCUGGUCCUCAAACGGGGCAUGUGCACGCUCUGUUCACACAUCCACACACACCUGUGCACCCUCUGUAGUUCUGUGGCCUGGGGGACUCUGUCUCCCUCGCCGUGGUUCUACGUCUUUACACACACACACCGUAAUGAAGUCAUAUGGAAUGUAUGUCGCGUCUAACGCAAUACAAUACAACUUUCAGCAACGGAUCUCUUGGCUCUCGCAUCGAUGAAGAACGCAGCGAAAUGCGAUAAGUAAUGUGAAUUGCAGAAUUCAGUGAAUCAUCGAAUCUUUGAACGCACCUUGCGCCUUUUGGCUAUUCCGAAGGGCAUGCCUGUUUGAGUAUCAUGAACACCUCAACUCUCAUGGUUUGCCAUGAUGAGCUUGGACUUUGGAGGUCUUUGCUGGCCUACGGUCAGCUCCUCUCAAACGAAUUAGCUUGCCAGUGUUUGGUGGCAUCACAGGUGUGAUAACUAUCUACGCUUGUGGUCUCCCACCAGGUAACCUUCAGCAAUGGAGGUUCGCUGGAGCUCAUAAAUGUCUCUCCUCAGCGAGGACAGCUUUUGAACGUUUGAUCUCAAAUCAGGUAGGACUACCCG
rnacentral:rRNA from 1 species